ensembl:snRNA U1 U1 spliceosomal RNA
GUAAGUAUCUGGCAGGGGAAAUACCAUGAUCACGAAGGUGAUUUUCCCAGGGUGAGGUUUAACGAUUAUACUUCAAAUGUACUGACCUCUGCAGUUUCCCCUAAGGUGAGAAAUUUGGCUGCAUAAUUUGUGGGAGUGUGGGACUGCCUUUGCACUUUUCCGAA